AGCUCUGCUAGCGUAUAUUAAAGUUGUUGCAGUUAAAAAGCUCGUAGUUGAAUUUCUGGUAGGAGUGAUUGGUCCAUCACAACGUGUUGGAACCUGAUUGUCUCCGGCCAUCCUUGGAAAGAGUCUUCAUGGCAUUAAGUUGCCGAGUUGACAGUUUCCAUCAUUUACUGUGAAAAAUUAGAGUGUUCAAAGCAGGCUUAUGCCAUUGAAUAUAUUAGCAUGGAAUAAUAAGAUAGGACUUUGGUACUAUUUUGUUGGUUUGCGCACCAGAGUAAUGAUAAAUAGGGACAGUUGGGGGUAUUCGUAUUCAAUUGUCAGAGGUGAAAUUCUUGGAUUUAUGGAAGACGAACUACUGCGAA
rnacentral:rRNA from 1 species